ensembl:lncRNA novel transcript
GAAAUGCCGUCUAACGGGAUCUCUGGAUGGAGAAUUCCACAGCUGAUUGGAACCUAAACGAGAGAACCAAAUGGACAUCCCAGGGCUGCAGAAGCCACCCCAUCUAUGACUAAGACACCCUCCCACCUUCAUGCUACUGAGUGGACAAGCUUACAUGAAAUGACUGUUUUCACAUAUGUGGCACCAGGCAGCCCAGGGAUGCCGGUGAAAUCUCUGGGAGAACGGCAUGUUCCAGAGAGCCACAGCUUGCUCAGCCUGGACCCCAGAACGAAGGAGGCAUCAGAAGCUGAGCCACCCGUGGCCGACAAGAAACCUGAGUGGGAGGGGAAACUUGGUUGCUGUGAUCGACCCAGGCUUGCGAGUUGUUUUGGCAACACAGCCUAGCAAGAGCCGACCAAUAUGUCAUUGAUGAAAGAAAGUCAACAGGCGUGUAGAAGGAGCUGUCUACUGAGCAUGUCUGCACUUUUCUGAAUUAUGUUGCACUUGAGUAAAAAGUAAGCAAGCCUGUCUAUUUACUUUAAAUGAUGUGUGCCAGAUAUGUACAGUAUGCAGAGUUAAGAAGGUGCCACCCCAAAAUAGGCUGCUCUGGCAUAGUCACUAUUAGGAAUUAAAGGCAGUUAAAACAAU